CUUAAGGGAAGCUGUAUUUUCACUAGUGAUUGCUAAAAAUCUAACGAAAAAAUAGCAUUCAAAAAAAGCAAAUAGUAACAUCUGAUGGGGAGGAGAAGUCAUGAGAAAUCAUGGAACAUGGCCGGCCAAUAAAAGAAGUUCUUUGGCGCCAAGCUGCGUAUUGCAACAAAUGAUCUUUUCAACAUGGCGGUCGAUUUGUAAGUGUGUGUUGGUGGUGUGCGAGUGGAUGACGUGGAGGAUUUGUUUACAUUGUUUAAAUGAAUAACUUAAGGACUAAGCAUUUGUAAAUUGCAUUGUUUAUUUAUAUUUGAACAUUCCUAAAAUGUUCGAAAUCACUGAUUUUCAAAAAAUAGGAAUAGGC